rnacentral:rRNA from 1 species
UACAGAGGAUGCAAGCGUUAUCCGGAAUGAUUGGGCGUAAAGCGUCUGUAGGUGGCUUUUUAAGUCCGCCGUCAAAUCCCAGGGCUCAACUCUGGACAGGCGGUGGAAACUACCAAGCUUGAGUACGGUAGGGCAGAGGGAAUUUCCGGUGGAGCGGUGAAAUGCGUAGAGAUCGGAAAGAACACCAACGGCGAAAGCACUCUGCUGGCCGACACUGACACUGAGAGACGAAAGCUAGGGAGCGAAUGG